UAACGCGUGGGAAUCUGCCCUUUUGUUCGGAAUAACGUUGGGAAACCGACGCUAAUACCGGAUACGCCCUACGGGGGAAAGAUUUAUCGCAGAAGGAGGGGCCCGCGUCGGAUUAGCUAGUUGGUGGGGUAAUGGCUUACCAAGGCGAUGAUCCGUAGCUGGUCUGAGAGGAUGAUCAGCCACACUGGGACUGAGACGCGGCCCAGACUCCUACGGGAGGCAGCAGUGGGGAAUAUUGGACAAUGGGCGCAAGCCUGAUCCAGCAAUGCCCGGUGAGUGAUGAAGGCCUUAGGGUUGU
rnacentral:rRNA from 1 species